rnacentral:ncRNA from 1 species
CUGACAUGCGUGCGAGUCGACGGGUUCAGAAACCUGAGAUGCGCAAGGAAGCUGACGAGCGGGAGGCCCUCAGGAGCCGCACCGCUGGCCGACCCUGAUCUUCUGUGAAGGGUUCGAGUUGGAGCACGCCUGUCGGGACCCGAAAGAUGGUGAACUAUGCCUGAGCGGGCGAAGCCAGAGGAAACUCUGGUGGAGGCUCGAAGCGAUACUGACGUGCAAAUCGUUCGUCUGACUUGGGUAUAGGGGCGAAAGACUAAUCGAACCAUCUAGUAGCUGG